AUGGCCGACUCCCCGCGCCGGAGGUACACAAGGCCCUCAAGGUCCCCUUCUCCUUAUAAGGGACGCCAAAAGCAAAUGUCAAGGUCAAGAUCACCUGUAGCUCAAUCCCAGUCUAGAUCUCCAUCGCCUGAUCCUAGAGCUCAGGCGAGGUCACGAUCUCGAAGCCCUGCGAGGGAGCGGGAGCCUGAAGCUGUAAAUCAUGGAAAUACUCUGUACAUUACUGGACUUUCUUCUAGGGUGACUGAUAAAGAACUUAGAGAGUACUUCAAUAAGGAAGGAAAGGUGGUUUCUUGCCAUGUUGUUCUUGAACCCCACACCCGUGUUUCUCGUGGAUUUGCUUUCAUCACCAUGGACACUGUUGAAGAUGCUGAACGCUGCAUCAAGUAUCUUAACCAGUCAGAACUGCAAGGCCGGAACAUCACAGUUGAAAAGUCACGCAGAGGCCGCCCAAGGACGCCUACUCCUGGGAGCUAUCUGGGCCAUCGCUAUGAGCGUAGAGAGAUGCAGCGUGGAGGUAGAUUCCGCAGAGGAGGCUAUGGUCGUGACGACUACUAUGGCAACAGCUACCGCAGGUCUCCGCCUCCCAUGUACCGAGACUACAGGGACACCCGGGACUACCCUCCCUACAGGGACACCCGCGACUACUCCCCACCCCACAGGGAUGCCCGAGACUACUAUGACGGGAGGGGUGGUCGGGGCUACUCCCCCCACAGAUCUCCCCCUCCUUAUGGUGGCAGGGCAAGAAGGGAGAGGUCUAGGUCGCUGCCCUAUUCCCCGUACCGGAUGCCCGAAAGGGGCUACGGCCGCCGUGCUGGCGGCGGAGGCUAUGACAGGUAA
rnacentral:rRNA from 1 species